GGUCACCCGGUCUAAUAGUCGUCUUAGACCAAGAAGACUACUCCUCACAAUCUCAAGUUGCAGCUUUUGAAAUGUCCAAUGCAUGCUCUCUCAAAUGAUGGCAUCAUCACGGUUAAAAGUGUCAGCUGGUUGGUAUUGGGUUCAGCCAUAUCCACACCCAAAUUCAAAGUAGAUCUAUUAGAUCAAACCCAAAUUCAUACUCAAUUAAAACUCUACAACCAUACACUAUGGUGGACCCACAAAGGAUCGGGCAUUGGGUA
rnacentral:lncRNA from 1 species